GCGCAUUGGGGCUCUUACACAUUACAGUCGAGCGGUAAGGCCCUUCGGGGUACACGAGCGGCGAACGGGUGAGUAACACGUGAGCAACCUGCCCCCGACUCCGGGAUAAGCGGUGGAAACGCCGUCUAAUACCGGAUACGACCGGCCACCUCAUGGCGGCCGGUGGAAAGUUUUUCGGUUGGGGAUGGGCUCGCGGCCUAUCAGCUUGUUGGUGGGGUAAAGGCCUACCAAGGCGAUUACGGGUAGCCGGCCUGAGAGGGCGACCGGCCACACUGGGACUGAGACACGGCCCAGACUCCUGCGGGAGGCAGCAGUGGGGAAUAUUGCGCAAUGGGCGAAAGCCUGACGCAGCGACGCCGCGUGGGGGAUGACGGCCUUCGGGUUGUAAACCUCUUUUACCACCAACGCAGGCUCCCAGUUCUCUGGGGGUUGACGGUAGGUGGGGAAUAAGGACCGGCUAACUACGUGCCAGCAGCCGCGGUAAUACGUAGGGUCCGAGCGUUGUCCGGAAUUAUUGGGCGUAAAGAGCUCGUAGGCGGCGUGUCGCGUCUGCUGUGAAAGACCGGGGCUUAACCCCGGUUCUGCAGUGGAUACGGGCAUGCUAGAGGUAGGUAGGGGAGACUGGAAUUCCUGGUGUAGCGGUGAAAUGCGCAGAUAUCAGGAGGAACACCGGUGGCGAAGGCGGGUCUCUGGGCCUUACCUGACGCUGAGGAGCGAAAGCAUGGGGAGCGAACAGGAUUAGAUACCCUGGUAGUCCAUGCCGUAAACGUUGGGCGCUAGGUGUGGGGACUUUCCACGGUUUCCGCGCCGUAGCUAACGCAUUAAGCGCCCCGCCUGGGGAGUACGGCCGCAAGGCUAAAACUCAAAGGAAUUGACGGGGGCCCGCACAAGCGGCGGAGCAUGUUGCUUAAUUCGACGCAACGCGAAGAACCUUACCAAGGUUUGACAUCACCCGUGGACCUGCAGAGAUGUGGGGUCAUUUAGUUGGUGGGUGACAGGU
rnacentral:rRNA from 1 species